UGAGGAAUAUUGCGCAAUGGGGGCAACCCUGACGCAGCAACGCCGCGUGAGUGAGGAAGGUUUUCGGACCGUAAAGCUCUGUCGAGCGGGAAGAAAUGCAUGGUGGCUAAUAUCCAUCAUGCUUGACGGUACCGCUAAAGGAAGCACCGGCUAACUCCGUGCCAGCAGCCGCGGUAAUACGGGGGGUGCGAGCGCUGUUCGGAAUUAUUGGGCGUAAAGAGCGUGUAGGCGGCUGAAUAAGUCAGAUGUGAAAUCCCUGGGCUUAACACAGGACGUGCAUUUGAAAAUAUUCGGCUAGAGUAGGGGAGAGGAAAGUGGAAUUCCUGGUGUAGAGGUGAAAUUCGUAGAUAUCAGGGGGAACACCGGUGGCGAAGGCGACUUUCUGGCCCUAUACUGACGCUGAGACGCGAGAGCGUGGGUAGCAAACAG
rnacentral:rRNA from 1 species